rnacentral:rRNA from 1 species
CCUACGGGAGGCAGCAGUGAGGAAUAUUGGUCAAUGGGCGAGAGCCUGAACCAGCCAAGUCGCGUGAAGGAUGACGGCUCUAUGGUUUGUAAACUUCUUUUGUAUGGGAAUAAAGUGAGAAACGUGUUCCUUUUUGUAUGUACCAUAUGAAUAAUCAUCGGCUAACUCCGUGCCAGCAGCCGCGGUAAUACGGAGGAUGCGAGCGUUAUCCGGAUUUAUUGGGUUUAAAGGGUGCGUAGGUGGUUAAUUAAGUCAGCGGUGAAAGUUUGGGGCUCAACCAUACAAUUGCCGUUGAUACUGGUCGACUAGAGUAUAGUUGAGGUAGGCGGAAUGUGUGGUGUAGCGGUGAAAUGCAUAGAGAUCAUGCAGAACUCCGAUUGCGAAGGCAGCUUACCAAGCUAUAACUGACACUGAAGCACGAAAGCGUGGGGAUCAAACAGGAUUAGAUACCCGAGUAGUC